ACAAUGGCUAGCGCUGGAUGUGUGGACUGUGAAGCCAGGUCACCAGACAGCGCCCCAUGUGACCUGGAAAGCACAGGUGCACCUCUGGCUUCCAGGGAGAUCAGCUGCUGCCCUUCAUCAUUGCCGCUGGGACUGUGAUUGGACUCUCGUUUGCCUACGGAGACUUUUGAACUGAGGCGAUCACUCCCUCAAGCCCUGGGCUGAGCAGCCCGUCACAGCCCAUUGGCCAAACCUGAGCCAGCACCCCCUCCAUCCUCCCCCUCCUGGCUCUUUCACCAGCUGCUGCCUCAUCCAAAGGAAAGUCAACCAAACUGCCCCCUUCUUCACAGGAAAUCGAUAACAAGCUGAGAGGCAAACCAUCAAUACCUGGCACACCACCAAGUCCCUGUCACAUGAUUGGAAACACAUGAUUAACACGAGAGCACCUGUCAAACCUAUCUUCCCUGUAUCGCCCUGUAAACAGAAGGCAAGUGUUUACUGUGACUAUUUUGUGAUACAUAAGCAUGCAGGAUGGCCAGUAAUACAGGCGACGAUGGCGACGAAUAUCGACCCGGCAGCAUCACACAACAUGGUUUUAGUACACGGUGGCUGGAGGAUUAAUGUGGAACAAAUGUUAGCGAUGAAUUAAUGGACUUUAUUAAUCGAACAUUCAGACAUUUGGACAAAAGAGAGAAGUUAAAGGGACAGUUU